GAAAUGCGAUAAGUAAUGUGAAUUGCAGAUUUUCAGUGAAUCAUCGAAUCUUUGAACGCACCUUGCGCUCCUUGGUAUUCCGAGGAGCAUGCCUGUUUGAGUAUCAUUAAAUUCUCAACCCUGUUGAUUUUAUUAUCAGUCAGAGGUUUGGACUUGGAGUGUGCUGGUGAAAGUCGGCUCCUCUCAAAUGUAUCAGCGGAAUAAAUUCUCUGAAUCCUUCCAGUCAUCGGUGUGAUAAUUAAUUAUGUCUUGCCGUUGAUGGGGGAACUAAACCAGAGUCUGCUUAUAGCUGUCUUUAGACAAAAUCCAGCUUGUCUGGAAACCAAUUUUGAUCUCAAAUCAGGUAGGACUACCCGCUGAACUUAA
rnacentral:misc_RNA from 1 species